UACGUAGGGGGCUAGCGUUGUCCGGAUUUAUUGGGCGUAAAGAGCGUGUAGGCGGCCAUGUAGGUCCGGUGUGAAAACUCGAGGCUUAACCUCGAGAUGUCAUCGGAAACCAUUUGGCUAGAGUCCGGAAGAGGAGAGUGGAAUUCCUGGUGUAGCGGUGAAAUGCGCAGAUAUCAGGAAGAACACCAAUGGCGAAAGCAGCUCUCUGGGACGGUACUGACGCUGAGACGCGAAAGCGUGGGAAGCGAACAGG
rnacentral:rRNA from 1 species